rnacentral:pre_miRNA from 1 species
UAUUAGGUUGGUGCAAAAGUAAUUGCAGUUUUUGCCAUUAAAAGUACAAAAGCCAUUUGCCAUUAAAACUCAUGGCAAAAACUGCAAUUACUUUUGCACCAACCUAAUA